rnacentral:tRNA from 1 species
GGGGAUAUAACUCAGUUGGUAGAGUGCUUGUCUCACAUGCACGAGGCCCUGGGUUCAAUCCCCAGCACCA